rnacentral:rRNA from 1 species
AAUCAUGGCUCAGGAUGAACGCUAGCUACAGGCUUAACACAUGCAAGUCGAGGGGCGAGCAUGGUCUUAGCUUGCUAAGACUGAUGGCGACCGGCGCACGGGUGAGUAACACGUAUCCAACCUGCCGUCUACUCUUGGACAGCCUUCUGAAAGGAAGAUUAAUACAAGAUGGCAUCAUGAGUCCGCAUGUUCACAUGAUUAAAGGUAUUCCGGUAGACGAUGGGGA